rnacentral:rRNA from 1 species
UACGAAGGGGGCUAGCAUUGCUCGGAAUCACUGGGCGUAAAGCGCACGUAGGCGGGUCGUUAAGUCGGGGGUGAAAUCCUGGAGCUCAACUCCAGAACUGCCUUCGAUACUGGCGAUCUUGAGUCUGGGAGAGGUGAGUGGAACUCCGAGUGUAGAGGUGAAAUUCGUAGAUAUUCGGAAGAACACCAGUGGCGAAGGCGGCUCACUGGCCCGGUACUGACGCUGAGGUGCGAAAGCGUGGGGAGCAAACAGG